rnacentral:rRNA from 1 species
ACCGUAUAGUGCGAUUGAUUUAGCGGCCGCCGUUCGCUCUUGUGCCAGCAGCCGCGGUAAUUCCAGCUCCAAUAGCGUAUAUUAAAGUUGUUGCGGUUAAAAAGCUCGCAGUUGAACCUUGGGCCUGGCUGGCCGGUCCGCCUCACCGCGUGCACUGGUCCGGCCGGGCCUUUCCCUCUGUGGAACCCCAUACCCUUCACUGGGCGUGGCGGGGAAACAGGACAUUUACUUUGAAAAAAUUAGAGUGCUCCAGGCAGGCCUAUGCUCGAAUACAUUAGCAUGGAAUAAUAAAAUAGGACGCGCGGUUCUAUUUUGUUGGUUUAUAGGACCGCCGUAAUGAUUAAUAGGGACAGUCGGGGGCAUCAGUAUUCAACUGUCAGAGGUGAAAUUCUUGGAUCAGUUGAAGACUAACUACUGCGAAAGCGUUUGCCAAGGAUGUUUUCAUUAAUCAGGAACGAAAGUUAGGGGAUCGAAGACGAUCAGAUACCGUCGGAGACUUAACCAUAAACUCUGCGGACGAGGGGGGGGGAGGGGGUUUUCCACUCUCCUUGAAUAACCAAAAAAUAGUUUGUGGCGGCGGGAGGGAGAGGAAAAAAAAAAGAAAAUUUAAAGAAGAGGGGGGGCGGCGGGGGGCGCGGGGCGUGGGUUUUUUUUUUUUUUUUUGUUGGAACACCCCGCCCACCCCCCACAAAAAAGAGAGAAAAGGAGGUUUUUGUUUUUUUUUUUUUUGUGGACCGAGGGACCUCCCUCCGUUGUUGUUGUGUGUUUUUUUUGUUUUAAAAAGAAAAAAAGAAAAGAAAACAUAUAUAGAUCGAGG